CGACAACUCACUACUGAAAUAUUUCACCUAGCAUUGUUUACCUGUCCUUCAUAUUUUCUUGUUAAAAUGUGAAUUUGGGUACUUUAGGAGUGGAUUAAAUAAUACAAUCUGAAAAUGCGGUUUCUAUUUUACUAUGGAAUUAGUUGCUUCAUUUUGCAAGUCCCUAGGGGAGGUCAAGGCGUGAUUAUGAAUGGAAAUGAAACUUUCGUCGAAUGUUCAUCAAACGCUGACAUCACAUUCAAAUUUAAGAACCCUGUCGAGAAUACAUCUUUUGUCAUCGCAGAAUGUGAUGCAAUGAUUACAACAUGUCGUAUGCUUGUACGCGAUAUUGAAAACAUAUAUAAUAUUUCUUACACUGGUCGUGGGGGAAUUCUUCAUAUCAAUCAUAGAGCUAAAUACACUUAUGGAACAUACGAAUGUUUUGAAACGUACUGCCCCAGCAAUUAUGUAGCUGUGGACAUUAAUCCUCGUUAUAUUGAUG